ACCAGCUCUUCAAGUGGUCGGGAUAAUUAUUGGGCUUAAAGUGUCCGUAGCCGGUUUAGUAAGUUCCUGGUAAAAUCGGGUAGCUUAACUAUCUGCAUGCUAGGAAUACUGUUAUACUAGAGGGCGGGAGAGGUCUGAGGUACUACAGGGGUAGGGGUGAAAUCUUAUAAUCCUUGUAGGACCACCAGUGGCGAAGGCGUCAGACUGGAACGCGCCUGACGGUGAGGGACGAAAGCCAGGGGAGCGAACCGGAUUAGAUACCCGGGUAGUCCUGGCCGUAAACGAUGCAUACUAGGUGAUGGCACGGCCAUGAGCCAUGUCAGUGCCGUAGGGAAACCGUUAAGUGUGCCGCCUGGGAAGUACGGUCGCAAGGCUAAAAACUUAAAGGAAUUGGCGGGGGAGCACCACAAGGGGUGAAGCCUGCGGUUU
rnacentral:rRNA from 1 species